UCGGGAAUUUUGGGCAAUGGGCGAAAGCCUGACCCAGCAACGCCGCGUGAGUGAUGAAGGCCUUCGGGUCGUAAAGCUCUGUGGGGAAGGACGAAAAAACAUUGGCUAAUAUCCAAUGGCUUGACGGUACUUCCUUAGCAAGCACCGGCUAACUCUGUGCCAGCAGCCGCGGUAAUACAGAGGGUGCAAACGUUGCUCGGAAUCAUUGGGCGUAAAGCGCACGUAGGCGGCCUGAUAAGUCGGUAGUGAAAGCCCUCGGCUUAACCGAGGAAGUGCUAUCGAAACUGCCAGGCUUGAGUACCGGAGAGGAUCGCGGAAUUCCCGGUGUAGAGGUGAAAUUCGUAGAUAUCGGGAAGAACACCAGUGGCGAAGGCGGCUAACUGGUCCGGUACUGACGCUGAGGUGCGAAAGCGUGGGGAGCAAACGGGAUUAGAUACCCCUGUAGUCCCUGGAGCGGGCUGGCAAGGCGCAU
rnacentral:rRNA from 1 species